GGGCCCAUAGCUCAACGGUAGAGCAGUGCCCUCUUAAGGCAUUGGUUGGGGGUUCGAAUCCCUCUGGGCUCA
rnacentral:tRNA from 1 species